UACGGGGGGGGGCAAGCGUUGUUCGGAAUUACUGGGCGUAAAGGGCUCGUAGGCGGCCAACUAAGUCAGACGUGAAAUCCCUCGGCUUAACCGGGGAACUGCGUCUGAUACUGGAUGGCUUGAAUCCGGGAGAGGGAUGCGGAAUUCCAGGUGUAGCGGUGAAAUGCGUAGAUAUCUGGAGGAACACCGGUGGCGAAGGCGGCAUUCUGGACCGAGAUUGACGCUGAUGAGCGAAAGCUAGGGGAGCAAACGGG
rnacentral:rRNA from 1 species